rnacentral:rRNA from 1 species
AGGAAUAUUGGUCAAUGGACGAGAGUCUGAACCAGCCAAGUAGCGUGAAGGAUGAAGGUUCUAUGGAUUGUAAACUUCUUUUAUACGGGAAUAAACGGAUCCACGUGUGGAUUUUUGCAUGUACCGUAUGAAUAAGGAUCGGCUAACUCCGUGCCAGCAGCCGCGGUAAUACGGAGGAUCCGAGCGUUAUCCGGAUUUAUUGGGUUUAAAGGGAGCGUAGAUGGGUUGUUAAGUCAGUUGUGAAAGUUUGCGGCUCAACCGUAAAAUUGCAAUUGAUACUGGCAGUCUUGAGUACAGUUGAGGUAGGCGGAAUUCGUGGUGUAGCGGUGAAAUGCUUAGAUAUCACGAAGAACUCCGAUUGCGAAGGCAGCUUACUAACCUGUAACUGACAUUGAUGCUCGAAAGUGUGGGUAUCAAACAGGAUUAGAUACCCUGGUAGUCCACACGGUAAACGAUGAAUACUCGCUGUAGGCGAUAUACUGUCUGCGGCCAAGCGAAAGCAUUAAGUAUUCCACCUGGGGAGUACGCCGGCAACGGUGAAACUCAAAGGAAUUGACGGGGGCCCGCACAAGCGGAGGAACAUGUGGUUUAAUUCGAUGAUACGCGAGGAACCUUACCCGGGCUUAAAUUGCAACCGAAUAUGGCGGAAACGCUAUAGCUAGCAAUAGCGGUUGUGAAGGUGCUGCAUGGUUGUCGUCAGCUCGUGCCGUGAGGUGUCGGCUUAAGUGCCAUAACGAGCGCAACCCUUGCCGAUAGUUACUAACAGGUCAUGCUGAGGACUCUGUCGGGACUGCCAUCGUAAGAUGUGAGGAAGGUGGGGAUGACGUCAAAUCAGCACGGCCCUUACGUCCGGGGCUACACACGUGUUACAAUGGGGGGUACAGAGGGCUGCUACCACGCAAGUGGAUGCCAAUCCCAAAAACCUCUCUCAGUUCGGAUUGAAGUCUGCAACCCGACUUCAUGAAGCUGGAUUCGCUAGUAAUCGCGCAUCAGCCACGGCGCGGUGAAUACGUUCCCG